AUACUUUUUCCGUCACCAACGGCUGGAGAGUAUAACAAUUUUUGCAUACACAAGUAUACUAAAACCGUUAAUAUACUCAUUUAAUUUAGUAUAUGUAUACUUUUAAUUAUAAAUAAUACACAUAUUCACUUUUUACAACUUUAUAAGGGUAUAAGAGAUUCAUAAUAUCUCUUUUCGGUAAAAUCACUUACCUAUAUCAUCACAUUCGAUCGACAAGAUGCUGUCUCCCAAGUUUUUGAUGAUAUCCAUCCGUCACCAACGGCUGGAGAGUAUAACAAGUUUUGCAUACACAAGUAUACUAAAACCGUUAAUAUACUCAUUUAAUUUAGUAUAUGUAUACUUUUAAUUAUAAAUAAUACACAUAUUCACUUUUUACAACUUUAUAAGGGUAUAAGAGAUUCAUAAUAUCUCUUUUCGGUAAAAUCACUUACCUAUAUCAUGACAUUCGAUCGACAAGAUGCUGUCUCCCAAGUUUUUGAUGAUAUCCAUCCGUCACCAACGGCUGGAGAGUAUAACAAGUUUUGCAUACACAAGUAUACUAAAACCGUUAAUAUACUCAUUUAAUUUAGUAUAUGUAUACUUUUACUUAUAAAUAAUAUACAUAUAUCCCCUUUUUUAUUAGUAUAUUAUAUAUACUUAUUACCUUUUACUUCACAAGUAUAUAAGAGCAUUAUAUAUUCUCUUAUCGGGCAUACAACCCACCAUUUACCUUAACUUUUAUGGGCGAAACUCCUGUCGCUCAAGUUUUUGAUGAUAUCCAUCCGUCACCAACGGCUGGAGCGUAACAAGCUUUAUAUAUAAAGCAUAUUACUAAUAUAACCAAU
rnacentral:rRNA from 1 species